rnacentral:rRNA from 1 species
AGAGUUGAUCCUGGCUCAGGAUGAACGCUAGCGGCAGGCUUAACACAUGCAAGUCGAGGGGCAGCACGGGUAGCAAUACUUGGUGGCGACCGGCGCAAGGGUGCGUAACGCGUGAGCAACAUGCCCGUAUCAGGGGGAUAAUCCAUGGAAACGUGGUCUAAUACCCCAUAGUAAGUUUUUGGGGCAUCUCAAAGAUUUUAAAGCUUUGGUGGAUACGGAUUGGCUCGCGUGACAUUAGCUAGAUGGUAAGGUAACGGCUUACCAUGGCUAUGAUGUCUAGGGGUUCUGAGAGGAAGGUCCCCCACACUGGAACUGAGACACGGUCCAGACUCCUACGGGAGGCAGCAGUGAGGAAUAUUGGACAAUGGAUGGAAAUCUGAUCCAGCCAUGCCGCGUGCAGGAAGACGGCCCUAUGGGUUGUAAACUGCUUUUGUAUGGGAGCAAUAAGGGCUACGUGUAGUCCGAUGAGAGUACCAUACGAAUAAGCACCGGCUAACUCCGUGCCAGCAGCCGCGGUAAUACGGAGGGUGCAAGCGUUAUCCGGAUUUAUUGGGUUUAAAGGGUGCGUAGGCGGUUUGAUAAGUCAGCGGUGAAAUAUUUCAGCUUAACUGGAAGGGUGCCGUUGAUACUGUCGAGCUUGAAUUUAGUUGCUGUGGGUGGAAUGUGUGGUGUAGCGGUGAAAUGCAUAGAUAUCACACAGAAUAUCGAUUGCGAAGGCAGCUCACAAAGCUAAUAUUGACGCUGAUGCACGAAAGUGUGGGGAUCAAACAGGAUUAGAUACCCUGGUAGUCG